GUUUGAGGGAUGCCGAGGGGUUGUACCUCGCCAGCGAUUCGAACAAGCGGCUAUUGAUCUACUUCCCCUUUAUGCAGGUCAAGCUACAUUCCGUGCUAUUCAAAGGCCCCAAGGAUGACGCAAUGGCAAUGACUAUCUACCAAUGGACAUCGUGGAGCUAUCUUCCGAUCAUUUGAUAGAGAAUAAACCUUUGCUGCUAAAGGAUGUCAAGUUCUAAAACGUACACGGGCUUACCAGUGCUUAUGGACCUUUGUUUGUUCGGGACACUACCUUUGCUAAUGGGGAACAGGUAAGCGGUAGGCUAUAUAUCUUGUUUCUCUUUUGAAAUAAUGCAAAAUACUCUUACAUCUUUACAUAAGCUUUAAUGUUGAUUGUUGCAGAUUUUUUUGGUCCAGGGUUAAUUAUAUUUUAUUUUGUUAAUAUAAUUAGAAAUGAUCACAAUAAGGGAGCUACAUUUGAGUUAUUUGAGUUGUAGGGUGCGUUCAGGAGACUAUAGGGUCGUGGGUGUAAGAUAUGGUUUAGAGAAUGUGUCUACUGGAACAUCCUUUGUACCAAUUCCCUGUAUACAUCUAUCUAUCGUUAAAACACCUUCUAUUGGAACAUAUUUUCACUAUACAUACACUUAUGAGUAAGGUAUUUAGCUCAAAUUUAUCUAUACAAUAUCCUUUUGUAUUCCUAAAUAGCCUGCCGAAAGAAGAAGAUAGCCACAAUUAUGCAUGAAAGCUCCGUUUCUACGAUUGUAUACCGUCACAACGUACGGGUAUUGGACUAGUUUGUAUAGAAAAGAGAGAAGGGAAAAUCUGAAUUUUCUUGCCUCUACAUGUCCAUCUCCAA